rnacentral:rRNA from 1 species
AAACUACGAUUAGAUACCCUAUUAUUCUAAUCGUUAGUCUCUCGUACUUGGGUAGUAUUAGCUAUGUUCUUAAAACCCAAAGAAUUUGGCGGUGUUUUAUUCUGGUCAGAGGAACCUGUUCCGUAAUCGAUAGUCCACGUCUUACCAGACUUAAUCUUGUACUCAGCUUGUAUACCUCCGUCACAAGAUUAUACUUAAAGGUUAUAUUCUGAAUUUAUGAUUUUGAAAAAUGUCAGGUCAAGGUGCAGCUUAUGAUUAAGAGGCAAUGGGUUACAUUAAUUUAAAUUAUACGAAUUACGGGGAUGAAAAUACCGUGAGAAGGUGGAUUUGGUUGUAACGAGAUGGUUUAGAAAACUUUCGUGAUGAUAGCUCUAAAACAUGCACA